UGGGAUAAUGGAAUAGGACCCUGUCCUCCUAUUUUCAGUUGGUUUGCCGCGAGGACCAGGGUAAUGAUUAAUAGGGAUAGUUGGGGGCAUUAAUAUUUAAUUGUCAGAGGUGAAAUUCUUGGAUUUAUGAAAGAUUAACUUCUGCGAAAGCAUCUGCCAAGGAUGUUUUCAUUAAUCAAGAACGAAAGUUAGGGGAUCGAAGACGAUCAGAUACCGUCGUAGUCUUAACCAUAAACGAUGCCGACCAGCGAUUAGGAGACGUUGAAUACAAAACACCACCAUGCGCAUUGCGGUCGUCUUUGGUGUCGCUCACAAGGCGGCACCGGGGCGGCUUAGCUCGCAUGGCACCGGUGAAU
rnacentral:rRNA from 1 species